UACGGGGGAUGCAAGCGUUAUCCGGAUUUAUUGGGUUUAAAGGGUGCGUAGGCUGUGAGGUAAGUCAGCGGUGAAAUGCCCCCGCUCAACGGGGUGAAGUGCCAUUGAUACUGCCUUGCUGGAAUGCGGAUGCCGUGGGAGGAGUGUGUGGUGUAGCGGUGAAAUGCAUAGAUAUCACACAGAACACCGAUUGCGAAGGCAUCUCACGAAUCCGCUAUUGACGCUGAUGCACGAAAGCGUGGGUAUCAAACAGG
rnacentral:rRNA from 1 species